rnacentral:rRNA from 1 species
GUGCAGCAGCCGCGGUAAUACCGGCCGCUCAAGUGAUGUCCCAUAUUAUUGGGCCUAAAGCGUCCGUAGCUGGCCGCCCAAGUCUCCCGGGAAAUCCACCCGCCCAACGGGUGGGCGUCCGGUAGAAACUGGCCGGCUUGGAACCGGAAGGCUCAGAGAGUACGUCCGGGGUAGGAGUGAAAUCCUGUAAUCCUGGACGGACCGCCGGUGGCGAAAGCGCCUCGGGAAGACGGACCCGACAGUGAGGGACGAAAGCUGGGAUCUCGAACCGGAUUAGAUACCCGGGUAUC